GCCUUAUUGCUCUGUCCUUCUGGUGGAAAGGAAGGCAGGAGAGAGCACUUUCUUCAAACUUGAACCAUUUUAUAAGGAUGCUAAACCCAGUAAUGAGGGUGGAGUUAGCCACUUUUCAACAGCCACACCUUUUAACACACACUGUUGCAUUUAGGAUUAAGUUUCAACAUGAAUUUUGGAGGAGACACCAUCAUUCAAACCAUAGCACCAUCUUUUGGGAUCUAUGGUUGAUUUGGAUUUCCUGGAGUUCUCUUUGAAGAAAAUAAAGGUGUUCAGCUUGACUGAUCUACAAAUAAGCAGUAGCAUGAUAUCCAUCUACUGGUAUUUGAAAGAGUAAACAAAAAGAAAUGAAGAAAUUUAGGAAGGAUAAAAAUUAUUACAUCAGUAUUAGGGAUAAAACGGACACCAAACCUCA
rnacentral:lncRNA from 1 species